GCAGAUAUGCAUAACAAAAUCUGAGAAAUUUGGUGUGAGAAGGUCUAAUUGGAAUGUGUAAGUAAGCCUCUGUUAAGUCAAUGGAAGUUAAAAAGUCGCCUUUCCUUAUGCUAAGCAGAAUGGUUUGCAACGUACUCAUUUUAAAUUUGCGAUAGACUAGAGCACGGUUUAGUCUUUUUAAAUCUAGGAUUGCCCUCCAUCCCCCCGAACUCUUAGGGACUACGAAAAGUAGUGAAUAGAACCUGUACCCUUGUUGAUCUCGGGCUACUGGUUGGAUGGCUUUGAUUUCCAAUAAAUGCUUGAUCGCUGUCUCCAUCAAGUUCCUUUUAACAGGAUCCCUGGAGAGAGGGCAUUUCAUGAAAAAGUCCGGGGGAGUGGAGCGGAAUUCCAGAGCUAGGCCAA